rnacentral:rRNA from 1 species
UAAAGGUAUUCCGGUAGACGAUGGGGAUGCGUUCCAUUAGAUAGUAGGCGGGGUAACGGCCCACCUAGUCUUCGAUGGAUAGGGGUUCUGAGAGGAAGGUCCCCCACAUUGGAACUGAGACACGGUCCAAACUCCUACGGGAGGCAGCAGUGAGGAAUAUUGGUCAAUGGGCGAGAGCCUGAACCAGCCAAGUAGCGUGAAGGAUGACUGCCCUAUGGGUUGUAAACUUCUUUUAUAAAGGAAUAAAGUCGGGUAUGGAUACCCGUUUGCAUGUACUUUAUGAAUAAGGAUCGGCUAACUCCGUGCCAGCAGCCGCGGUAAUACGGAGGAUCCGAGCGUUAUCCGGAUUUAUUGGGUUUAAAGGGAGCGUAGAUGGAUGUUUAAGUCAGUUGUGAAAGUUUGCGGCUCAACCGUAAAAUUGCAGUUGAUACUGGAUAUCUUGAGUGCAGUUGAGGCAGGCGGAAUUCGUGGUGUAGCGGUGAAAUGCUUAGAUAUCACGAAGAACUCCGAUUGCGAAGGCAGCCUGCUAAGCUGCAACUGGCAUUGAGGCUCGAAAGUGUGGGUAUCAAACAGGAUUAGAUACCCUGGUAGUCCACACGGUAAACGAUGAAUACUCGCUGUUUGCGAUAUACUGCAA